rnacentral:piRNA from 1 species
UUACCUGUGCCAGUACCAUGAGUCUGUC